GCUAAACGCGAAGAACCUUACCAAGGCUUGACAUACACGAGAACACCCUAGAAAUAGGGGACUCUUUGGACACUCGUGAACAGGUGGUGCAUGGUUGUCGUCAGCUCGUGUCGUGAGAUGUUGGGUUAAGUCCCGCAACGAGCGCAACCCUCGUUCUAUGUUGCCAGCACGUAAUGGUGGGAACUCAUGGGAUACUGCCGGGGUCAACUCGGAGGAAGGUGGGGAUGACGUCAAAUCAUCAUGCCCCUUAUGUCUUGGGCUUCACGCAUGCUACAAUGGCCGGUACAAAGGGCUGCAAUACCGUGAGGUGGAGCGAAUCCCAAAAAGCCGGUCCCAGUUCGGAUUGAGGUCUGCAACUCGACCUCAUGAAGUCGGAGUCGCUAGUAACCGCAGAUCAGCAACGCUGCGGUGAAUACGUUCCCGGGUCUUGUACACACCG
rnacentral:rRNA from 1 species